rnacentral:misc_RNA from 1 species
AGUUAGGAAGAGAUAAACUCUCCCAAUGAAAUAGCCAAGAGUUUCAUUGUUGACAAUUCCCUUUGAAACUGCUUCACCAAGCCGAAUUCUCUUUGCAGACUGGCCAGACAUUUGCUCUUCCCUUGGGAACAUCAGAAAUUCAAGAUCUGCAACUUCAGGGUACUUUGGGUGAGAUUUAUCUUCAGGAUCAACAAAAUGCUCAAUCUCUGCUAAUGUGAAUUCACGGACUCUCAGAAGGCCUUGGCGAGGAGAGAUCUCAUUUCUGAAAGCCUGACCAAUUUGAGCAGCAGCAAAAGGGAGUUUGUUCCCAUUGUAGUAGUACAAGUCCUUAAAGUUUACAAAUAUGCCUUGUGCUGUUUCAGGACGCAUAUAACCAGGGA